AUACGGAGGGUGCAAGCGUUGUUCGGAAUUAUUGGGCGUAAAGAGCAUGUAGGCGGACUAUUAAGUCUGGUGUGAAAGCCCGGGGCUCAACCCCGGAAGUGCAUUGGAUACUGGUAGUCUUGAGUAUGGGAGAGGAAAGAGGAAUUCCGAGUGUAGGAGUGAAAUCCGUAGAUAUUCGGAGGAACACCAGUGGCGAAGGCGGCUUUCUGGGCCAAUACUGACGCUGAGAUGCGAAAGCGUGGGGAGCGAACAGGAUUAGAAACCCUAGUAGUCC
rnacentral:rRNA from 1 species